UACGGGGGGGGCAAGCGUUGUUCGGAAUUACUGGGCGUAAAGGGUUGGUAGGUGGCUUGUUAAGUCAGACGUGAAAUCCCUCGGCUUAACCGGGGAACUGCGUCCGAUACUGGAUGGCUAGAGUUCGGGAGAGGGAUGCGGAAUUCCAGGUGUAGCGGUGAAAUGCGUAGAUAUCUGGAGGAACACCGGUGGCGAAGGCGGCAUCCUGGACCGACACUGACGCUGAGGAGCGAAAGCCAGGGGAGCAAACGGG
rnacentral:rRNA from 1 species